AGAAAGCAGGGAAGAGGAGCUACCUAUUUUUUCUAUAUUGAAUCCCUUCUUUUUUCUAUGGACUCCAAACACCCCAAAUCCUCUCCCCAAUAAAACUCACGAGCCGUCUCACCGAUCCUUUCUCCAUCUCUUCCUCCGCUCCGCAACCUCCACAACCACACCGUCAAUCUCACCGCCACUACC